UACGUAGGGGGCAAGCGUUGUCCGGAUUUAUUGGGCGUAAAGCGCGUGUAGGCGGUCCGGUAAGUCCGCUGUGAAAGUCGGGGGCUCAACCCUCGGAUGCCGGUGGAUACUGUCGGGCUUGAGUACGGAAGAGGCGAGUGGAAUUCCUGGUGUAGCGGUGAAAUGCGCAGAUAUCAGGAAGAACACCAAUGGCGAAAGCAGCUCUCUGGGACGGUACUGACGCUGAGACGCGAAAGCGUGGGGAGCGAACAGG
rnacentral:rRNA from 1 species